GGAGAGGACUGCGUUGGGAAACAUCUAGGAGGGCAAGUUGUCAGGACCUGGUGACUGAUGCCAGGCGGGAUGAGGGAGAGGCAGAGUCAAGGCCGGCCUUGUCAGAAGCCCAGCAGGGGUGCAGCCGGCUGACGGAAUCCAGCGGGCAGGGCAAACUCAAGGCUGAUCUCAGGUUGAGACAGGGAACCGGCGGCUGAUAGCUGACCGAGGCCAGCCCCACGAGGUGCUGAGCGUGGGCAAAGGGGAGAUGGGAAAGGAUGAUGUGGAUCACUCCUAGACGUGGUAUGAGGAUUCUCACGGGGAACGGGAGGAUAGGGUGUCAAUCACUCGAACAGGGCUGAGUCCUGGGACCAACAGGGCUCCCCUUGGUGUCUGGGUACCUGGUGGGGCCUUUCGCUAACAUCAGGAGCCCAGAGGAGGGUUGAGUUCCAGGGAGAGGCUGGGGGCGGGGGGGGGGUCACUUGGGCGUGGCUGUACUUGGCUUGUAGUGCAUGUGGGAGCAAACAUGACAGGAUCCGGGACAGGAGUGGGAAACUGGCAUAAAGUGAACGAAGAACUGAUUCAGACAGGAGGUGGGCAGGGCUUUGGCUCCUCAGAGAAGUCAGGGGCAGGCAAACUGAGCUCUAAACCCAGAAUCAGGCUGAAAGGGGGGAAAAUAACAGGGGCUGGGCAUGCAUCUCCAAUUGGAGAACAAAUCCAAAGGGCCUGGUAGGGACCAAGAGUUGCUGGGUGGUCUGUGUCGAGGGGCGAGGUUGAGCUCAAGGCUCUGCGUCUUUGCCGAAAACUGGCCUUUAUUGUAACUCCUUGUGCGUGUUGUGCGGUAGACCAGAUGCCCACAUGCAACCAGGACCUGCACAGAGCUGCGUUUGAGGACCCUUAUCCACGGAGCUUGUGGGUCGUCCGGGAGCAGGUGUCUAGGGGGCCACUGGAUGGAGCAGCCUGUAUCUUAGAAGGCAGGGCUGAGCUAAGGAGAAGAAAAUAUGAGUUGUCCUCAGAGAUGCCCCUGAGGAAGUGGUGCUUCUGGGUUGUUCUCUCAGGGGGGCAUGGUGGAGCUGAAGAGGUUAGCUUGGGGGACCUGGAACUGGAGGUCUCUAUGGCAGCAGGACAAACCACUCUGGUUUGCCAGGGAUGGUCCUUGCUUGUGCCUGUGUCCUGUGUCCCGUGUCAACAUUUAACAGGUGCCCGCUUCUAGUCCCAAAGACCCGGUUUGAAUGAUAGAUGAUAUUGUUUAUAUUAUCGGGCCAUCGAAAACAAAUUCAGCACUCCGUAGACCUGCCCAUCUGACUGUCAAUCAAGCUUUGACUCAAAGAACCCCUCUGUCUCUUCUCCCGGUGCCGACCGUCAUUAGCUUGGCAACCGUUGCCUUUCGGAACCUCAGUUUUGCAAAAAAUGACCGUCCCGUAAAUCAUUGCAUCGGGGCGCCUGGGUGGCUCAGCCGGUUAAGCAUCCUACUUUGGCUCAGGUCAGGACCUCGGAGUCUGUGAGUUCGAGCCCCACGUCGGGCUCUGUGCUGACAGCUCAGAGCCUGGAGCCUGCUUCCGAUUCCGUGUCUCCUGCUCUCUCUGCCCCUCCCCUGCUCGCGUUCUGUCUCUCUCAAAAAAUAAAUAAACAUAAAAAAAAUCAUUGCAUUUAUUUCCCAGCAUUGUUGUAACACUGGCAUGGAUGAGAAAGGUCAUUGUGAGCCCUCGAGGGCUCUGCGAGAGACCAUAACCUCUUUCUCUGUCUCUGUCUCCUUCUUUCCCUACUCCAGAAAUCAGGCCACCACAUCACUGAGGCUGGGAAGGCCUGCUGACUCUUCUGUGGCUGAACAUAAUGACUUCCCUUUCUUUCUUCCAGCCCCUUUCUUCUUUGUCCUGAAGAUUCCUGAGGCUCUUCAGGGCCACAGAAUGAAGGCAGUGGGACUACCAACUCGUCUUAUGGGGCCUGAGCUGUGAAGACAGAUGAAGAGGCUUUGGGGGAGGAAGGGAUGGUAAUUACACUUGUGCUCUGUGACAGCAUUUCCUCCUUCAGGUCCAGAAGAAGGUCUAGAACUGGGUCUGCCAAAAAGUAGCAGAGACUCCGUGUACAGAGAGCUAGGACCGGCGGAAGGAGGGAGGGAAAAUCCUACUAGCUCUGAGUAUUCAUGCCACCCGGGAGAUACUGCGUGUAUUCAGCCUGGUAAUGUGACUCGAAUCCAUAUCAAACUCAGUGUGUUGAAGAAACAGGAAUAUUUGGCCUGGUGAGGGCUUGGAGGCUGGGGAGCCACUGGUCUUAUAAGAAAAGAUGCAUUCCUCUUUCUGGAAUGCAGAAACCGGGUGAACCAGGUGGCCCAAGGAGGUAGGGAGUUCCCCAUCCCUGGAAGAAUGGGAGCAGAAAGUUCUUGGUAGCGGUGUGGGAAAGCAACAAACCAUGAGCCGGGGGUGGGAGGGCUGACUUUCAAGGCCCUUCCCGGCCCUGGGCUUCUAGGGCUCUGCCCACACUAGCCCCUGCUUUCGGUAGCCAGCUGCCUCCUGGAUGAGUCAAAAGCCAGCCCAGCUCCGACCUCCUGGCUGGGUGGGGCUCCGAGGGAGGCGCCAAAGCCUCCCUCUCCUGCCACGCAAGGCCACUGUAUUCAAGGCCUCUGGCAAACCAUAAGAGACUCUUAAAUACAGAGAACAAACUGAGGGUGGAUGGGGGUGGGGGAGAGGGGAAAGUGGGUGAUGGGCAUUGAGGAGGCCACUUGUCGGGAUGAGCACUGGGGGUUGUACGUAAGCCAAUUUGACAAUAAAUUGUAUUAAAAAAAAAAAGGCCUCUGGGGUGCCUCUUGCAGCCACCACCCUCCUGGAGUCAAGAACUAAAUAAAUUGGCUAAGGAAGGAGAAAGCAGAAACUACACACACACACACACACACACACACACACACACACACACACAAAGAGAGGGAGACUUGGUCUGAAAUGAGAAACGCCGUCUUGCUCUGGCCUUUUAUCAUAAGCCCAUGGAGAUGAAUAUUCUGACCUAAUAAUCAAAACAGGCUGUAAUUGCAAAUAGACUCAGGGCUGCAUGGCCGAGGGCAGAUGCGAUACCUGCUGAGCACAGCAGGCCCGGCCCCGCCAGCCCUCCUCCCACCGCGCGGAUCGAUGCGGCCGUCCAGCCGCACACCAUUUUUUGGCCUGGCUUGCUCAAGCCCUGCUCACAUUCUGCCUUCCUCCAGGGGCUCCUGGCUCCCUCCACAGGGACCCCAGCUCAAAGGAAGCCACCCUCCACCUCCAUCCCCGGAGGAACGUGACAAACACCAGCAGCAUCCGGAAAGACCACGAGGAGGAGGGAAGGGGGCUUUGGUCCCACCUCUCUCGAACUCCACCUCCUCUUGGCUCUGGAAGAUGUUCUCCUGGGUGCGCCACCAAAGCCUGGAAGGUCCGCGUGUCCCCUCCCUGCUCCCACCUCCUUUAUGUGUUUUGUUUCAGGCACACCCUCAGCUCAAAUUUGCUUUGAAGGUCAGUAAUUUCCACUCUUUUUUUCAAAACAACUGCACAGUUCUUCUGGGACCCAAAUGCUGAUUGUCUGCGCUGAGGAAUGAGUCUCCCUCAACAACAAGUACAUUCCAGAAAUAUCCAUCUAGCAUCUCUAAUGGGCAAGACAUUCAGGGGAGCCAACGAUGAACCAGGCCUGGGUCCGUCCCCAGGGCACCCCCACUAGUGAGGACCCGACUGCCCAGUGGAGCCCCUACUAUGUUUCAAGUAUGAUAUAAAUAUCCCAAAGUGAGGAUCUCACGGGAGAAGAGACCCAGGCUCAGACGUGUAGAAGAGACUCUUCACUGAGCAAACAUUUAUAAAGCGCCCGCCAUGGGCGUUUUGGUACAUCGGAUACCGGGGCUUUGGACCAACCCCAUCCUUGCCUACACAGAGUGGUGGCAGGAUACCAUCGACGCUCCAGCCCUGACCGUCUGCAUCCAAAGCAAGUGUUCCCCCGACCCCUCACGUUGCUUGCUUUCUCUUUAUAGACAAGUUUUUCCUGAGACAAAGUGAGGACCUCUGAAAGGGCUACUUCCUGAUCCCACCCUGCAAACACGUGAUAGAGUCCCAAGUUCAUAGAGGUCCCUGUUGGAAUACUUGACAUUCAACUCGGGAGGGUCCUGGCUCUCCCUCCUCAAGUGCAGUCUCCACCCUGGAUGGUUGCAAGGCUUCCAGCUGUUCUUCUGGUCCCGUCUCUCCCCUGCAAUCUGGCUGACCUUGGGCUGGCACUUCCUCUGUUCCAGAGGCUCCCAUGGCUUCCCAUGGACUUCUCUUGGACUCUUCAGUCUGCUGUUUCAAUCCUCCUCAAUUUACCCCCACCACCGUCCCCAUCUUUUCCCCAAGUCCUUCCUCCUGGUGCCGUGGACACUCAGCAGCUCGUGUGCCACCAUGGAUCUCUCUCUCUCUCUCUCUCUCUCUCUCUCUGUCCUCUCAGCAGGACAGAUGAGCUUGAAUCUCUCCCACCGUCUGGGGUCUGGGCUGGUCUUGGAUUCCUGCCUUACCUCUGCUUGAACCCUCGUCGCAUCCAGGAUCCAUCCUUUCCCUGACUGGUGCGCACUCUGCCUGAAGGACUUUUCCAAGCUACUUGGAUGGGGCAGAGGAACGCCAUUCCCCAGUGCUAGGCCAUGGGGCUUUCUGGGCUUUCUCAGAGAGCCUGAGCAGGGCCUUAGGCCAAGGCUAUAUAUGUGUCUCUCUAGGAAGGGUAUUUUCCUACUACAGGUAGCAUUUCAUAAACCAAGGCACCCACCUCAGCCAGAAACUUGCUAGCAGGUCACAGUAAGACAGGGGCAGUGUGACCCGUGGCAGGAGGUGGGGUGGGGGGAGAGGUCGCGCUCUUAGAACGACUGCGGAGACGAAGGCCCCCGCGGAGAGCAUUCGUCCUUUAUCGAGUGCCGUCAGAGGUGCUAGGCUGGGACUCGACUCCGGAGGGUCUGUGAAGCACCGGAAAAGCCCUCCCUUUUUCUUUGGCUGGCCUAAGAGGGGAAACAGGAAAGUGACCCCUGGCUUCUUUCUUCAGGUGGUUCCAUUUCCCCUUCUUUUCUCACUGCCCUCAGGUACGAACCCUGGGAACUUCGCUUGUAGAGGGACACUGAAGGCGGCACCAGAAGCAAAGUGCUGCUAUCUGACGCCCGAGGGUUCCUGCGCAGUGGUCCCCGGCACCCUUGUUUCCUUGCUGACUUACUCCAACAAGCACUCGUCCGUCGAGCGGGCCGGUACUGAGCGCCCACUGUAUACCAGGCAGCUGGCGAGUGCUGCGGGACCAGGCAGAGGAGCCCCUGCUCAGGCGGGGCCUCAAGUCCCCAGUCCAUUCGCUGGUUCCGUAGGAUACUGCGGGCAGCCGCCCCGGCCACCCAUCCUGUGACUCUGCCAGAGCGCGCUCCGCUUUCCCACGAGGGAGGCUCUGCACGCCUCCUCCAGGCAGCCCUAGCUCUCGGCCUGCUUGGCCAGCCCCUGACCUGGCUCAACUUCACCCAGGACCCCGUCCUCCCCUGGGCUUUGGCACCAACGGUAGCCAGACCAGUUGCCCGGGGUGGGGGUGGCAUUCCUGGUGGCACCACACCCGCAGUUGCUUUCACUUGCCCCCCGGGAGGGCCCCACGGCUUCCCCAAGCCCCGCGGGAAUUACUCAUCCAUCCCAGGAGCGUCCUUUUACUCCACUGACACAGGAGCCCCCACCGCCAGCCCGGCCCGCACUCAGGGUCGGCUGCCUCCGGGACUUCGGCUUUGUUUCUUUGCUGAUGUCCUCUGGUCCCCACACGACCUCUCAGAGUGCCUCUGUGGGUCACCCUCACUACUGGUUUCUGUAUCAUUAACACUUGGGACCAGGGACCCACAACACAUUUGUUGACCAAGUGAAUGAAGACAUUUGGGAUGAGGGGCCUUUGACGAAUAAACAUUUGGGAUGAGGGGCCUUUGACGAAUAAACAUUUAAGCUGGG